rfam:Pseudoxanthomonas dokdonensis strain DSM 21858 contig_29, whole genome shotgun sequence.
CGGAGCCGGACCCGCAGGUGGAUGAGAACCACCGACGUGGUUCGACAGCGACACCGCAAGGUGGCGCUGAACGUCCGGAGGACGGCCCGGAGGGCGAAGCGCCGCAGGCGCGGAGUCAUCCACCUCCCUCCACCA